rnacentral:rRNA from 1 species
UUAGAGUUUGAUCCUGGCUCAGGAUGAACGCUAGCGACAGGCUUAACACAUGCAAGUCGAGGGGCAGCACAGGGUAGCAAUACUUGGGUGGCGACCGGCGCACGGGUGAGUAACGCGUAUGCAACUUACCUAUCAGAGGGGGAUAGCCCGGCGAAAGUCGGAUUAAUACCCCAUGAAACAGGGGUCCCGCAUGGGAAUAUUUGUUAAAGAUUCAUCGCUGAUAGAUAGGCAUGCGUUCCAUUAGGCAGUUGGCGGGGUAACGGCCCACCAAACCGACGAUGGAUAGGGGUUCUGAGAGGAAGGUCCCCCACAUUGGUACUGAGACACGGACCAAACUCCUACGGGAGGCAGCAGUGAGGAAUAUUGGUCAAUGGCCGAGAGGCUGAACCAGCCAAGUCGCGUGAAGGAAGAAGGAUCUAUGGUUUGUAAACUUCUUUUAUAGGGGAAUAAAGUGGAGGACGUGUCCUUUUUUGUAUGUACCCUAUGAAUAAGCAUCGGCUAACUCCGUGCCAGCAGCCGCGGUAAUACGGAGGAUGCGAGCGUUAUCCGGAUUUAUUGGGUUUAAAGGGUGCGUAGGUGGUGAUUUAAGUCAGCGGUGAAAGUUUGUGGCUCAACCAUAAAAUUGCCGUUGAAACUGGGUUACUUGAGUGUGUUUGAGGUAGGCGGAAUGCGUGGUGUAGCGGUGAAAUGCAUAGAUAUCACGCAGAACUCCGAUUGCGAAGGCAGCUUACUAAACCAUAACUGACACUGAAGCACGAAAGCGUGGGGAUCAAACAGGAUUAGAUACCCUGGUAGUCCACGCAGUAAACGAUGACUAUUAGGUGUCGGGGAGCAAAGCUCUUAGGUGCCGCAGCAAACGCAAUAAGUAGUCCACUUGGGGAGUUACGUUCGCAAGAAUGAAACUCAAAGGAAUUGACGGGGACCCGCACAAGCGGUGGAGCAUGUGGUUUAAUUCGAAGCAACGCGAAGAACCUUACCUGCUCUUGACAUCCCGGUGACCGGCAUGUAAUGAUGCCUUUUCUUCGGAACACCGGUGACAGGUGGUGCAUGGUUGUCGUCAGCUCGUGUCGUGAGAUGUUGGGUUAAGUCCCGCAACGAGCGCAACCCUUAUCUUCAGUAGCCAGCAUUUUGGAUGGGCACUCUGGAGAGACUGCCAGGGAUAACCUGGAGGAAGGUGGGGAUGACGUCAAAUCAUCAUGCCCCUUAUGAGCAGGGCUACACACGUGCUACAAUGGCGUAAACAAAGGGAAGCAAGCCUGCGAGGGUAAGCAAAUCUCAAAAAUAACGUCUCAGUUCGGAUUGUAGUCUGCAACUCGACUACAUGAAGCUGGAAUCGCUAGUAAUCGCGAAUCAGCAUGUCGCGGUGAAUACGAUCCCGGGUCUUGUACUCACCGCCCGUCAAG